GACGAACGCUGGCGGCGUGCUUAACACAUGCAAGUCGAACGGAAAGGCCCUGCUUUUGUGGGUUGCUCGAUUGGCGAACGGGUGAGUAACACGUGAGUAACCUGCCCUUGACUUUGGGAUAACUUCAGGAAACUGGGGCUAAUACCGGAUAGGAGCUCCUGCUGCAUGGUGGGGGUUGGAAAGUUUCGGCGGUUGGGGCUGGACUCGCUGGUUAUCCGCUUGUUGGUGGGGUAGUGGCUUACCAGGGCUUUGACGGGUAGCCGGCCUGAGAGGGUGACCGGCCACAUUGGGACUGAGAUACGGCCCAGACUCCUACGGGAGGCAGCAGUGGGGAAUAUUGCACAAUGGGCGGAAGCCUGAUGCAGAAACGCCGCGUGCGGGAUGACGGCCUUCGGGUUGUAAACCGCUUUCGCCUGUGACGAAGCGUGAGUGACGGUAAUGGGUAAAGAAGCACCGGCUAACUACGUG
rnacentral:rRNA from 1 species